AAAUAAUUAAUUUUUAAUUCAGUACUUAAAUUAUUCAUCACUAGAUUCAAUUAUCAUCAGUAUAUCUAGGUGAAUGAUAGAUUUCUCAAAGAGCAAUUGAUUUGAUAGUGUUACAUCGAAAAUAUAGUCGCCGGAAUAUGCGUUUGGUAGUGUAUGUCUCACAGACAUGAGGGUUUGCUCAAGCAACCUCCAUUUCCAACCGAGAGGUUGUGAGUUCGAGUCUCCCCAAAAGCAAGGUGGGAAGCUCUUGGAGGGAAGGAUGUCGGGGGUCUACUUGGAAACAGCCUCUCUAUCCCAGGGUAAGGGUAAGGUCUGCGUACACACUACCCUCCCAAGACCCACUAAGUGGAUUAUACUGGGUUGUUAUUGUGUAUGUCUCAUAUUUAAGGAAAAAACCUAAUAAAUAACCGAAAAAAUCGAAAACUGACAAAAACAGAACCGAUAAAAUACCGACUUAAUUGGUUUGGUUUGGUUCCAAUAUUUGAAAAACCGACUUACUUGAUUUGAUUUCUUUUUAGAAAAGAACCGACCCAAACCGAAAUAUGAACACCCCAUCCUUAUGGUAUACCAAACUUGGGCACUUUUGAAUAUUUAUCGUCUAAAUGUUGUGACAAGGUAAUGAGAUUUGCAAUAUAAAAGUAAAAAAUCAAUGGUAAACUAUAUGGAUUCCAGAUUGUAGAUCAAGAACAUAUGAAACUUAUGCAAUUACACAAAGGCGCUACUCUACAUUCGUGCAGUAAAUGAGCUAUAGUGAACGGAAGACAAAGGAAAAUGAAAUGAAAAAGAAAGGAUCUUCAAAUCCAACGAGUACAACGUGAAAGAGAAAGCAAAUAAUUGUUUGGGGUGGGGGUGGGGUGGGGGAGGUUCAGAUUGUUCGUACAUCACCACGCGAUACAUGCGUGAGGAAAGAACAGAAUUAAUGGAACCAACUGGGCUGCGUGAACUAGGCUCUCAACUGUAAUAUUAAGUGCCCGCUUGGACAUAAAAUUUGAUGGAAGAUUUUUUCUAAA
rnacentral:lncRNA from 1 species